AUGCUCUUGCCAUUGGAUCCAUUAUAUGAUGAAUUGGUUCUCCCCGGCGAACCAGUCUUGCGCCAACCAUGCCUCAACCUGGAGUCUACCUCGAUCUCACCAAGUCGUUGGUUUUUUUUAAUCGCCUCUACCUCCUUAUCUCUAGCAUCUCCUUCGGUCCUCUCGUCGGGAUGUCCCAUGCUAGACACCACAGUGGGACUUCUAGGCACCCUUUUCUCACCAUCACCGUCAUCUUUUUCACUGCUGUUCAUCUUCAUAGAUGAGUACUCCAAUUUUCACUUUUGGGAGGAGCCUCAUUAUUCCUCGAUUUUCACUUCUCGUUGCCUUCCAACAGAUUGCAACAAAGUUGGUGUAUAA
rnacentral:rRNA from 1 species